rnacentral:rRNA from 1 species
AGUGAACGCUGGCGGUAGGCCUAACACAUGCAAGUCGAACGGCAGCACAGUAAGAGCUUGCUCUUACGGGUGGCGAGUGGCGGACGGGUGGGGAAUACAUCGGAAUCUACUUUUUCGUGGGGGAUAACGUAGGGAAACUUACGCUAAUACCGCAUACGACCUACGGGUGAAAGCAGGGGAUCUUCGGACCUUGCGCGAUUGAAUGCGCCGAUGUCGGAUUAGCUAGUUGGCGGGGUAAAGGCCCACCAAGGCGACGAUCCGUAGCUGGUCUGAGAGGAUGAUCAGCCACACUGGAACUGAGACACGGUCCAGACGCCUACGGGAGGCAGCAGUGGGGAAUAUUGGACAAUGGGCGCAAGCCUGAUCCAGCCAUACCGCGUGUGUGAAGAAGGCCUUCGGGUUGUAAAGCCCUUUUGUUGGGAAAGAAAAGCAGCAGGUUAAUACCCCGCUGUUCUGACGGUACCCAAAGAAUAAGCACCGGCUAACUUCGUG